UACGUAGGGGGCAAGCGUUGUCCGGAAUCAUUGGGCGUAAAGCGCGUGUAGGCGGUUCGGUAAGUCUGCUGUGAAAGUCCAGGGCUCAACCCUGGGAUGCCGGUGGAUACUGUCGGGCUAGAGUACGGAAGAGGCGAGUGGAAUUCCCGGUGUAGCGGUGAAAUGCGCAGAUAUCGGGAGGAACACCAGUGGCGAAGGCGGCUACCUGGACCGGUUCUGACGCUGAGGCGCGAAAGCGUGGGUAGCAAACAGG
rnacentral:rRNA from 1 species